rnacentral:rRNA from 1 species
UAGGGAAUCUUCGGCAAUGGGGGGAACCCUGACCGAGCAACGCCGCGUGAGUGAAGAAGGUUUUCGGAUCGUAAAGCUCUGUUGUAAGAGAAGAACGGGUGUGAGAGUGGAAAGUUCACACUGUGACGGUAUCUUACCAGAAAGGGACGGCUAACUACGUGCCAGCAGCCGCGGUAAUACGUAGGUCCCGAGCGGUGUCCGGAUUUAUUGGGCGUAAAGCGAGCGCAGGCGGUUAGAUAAGUCUGAAGUUAAAGGCUGUGGCUUAACCAUAGUAUGCUUUGGAAACUGUUUAACUUGAGUGCAGAAGGGGAGAGUGGAAUUCCAUGUGUAGCGGUGAAAUGCGUAGAUAUAUGGAGGAACACCGGUGGCGAAAGCGGCUCUCUGGUCUGUAACUGACGCUGAGGCUCGAAAGCGUGGGGAGCAAACA